GAUGAACGCUGGCGGCGUGCCUAAUACAUGCAAGUCGAGCGAACGGACGAGAAGCUUGCUUCUCUGAUGUUAGCGGCGGACGGGUGAGUAACACGUGGAUAACCUACCUAUAAGACUGGGAUAACUUCGGGAAACCGUAGCUAAUACCGGAUAAUAUUUUGAACCGCAUGGUUCAAAAGUUAAAGACGGUCUUGCUGUCACUUAUAGAUGGAUCCGCGUUGCAUUAGCUAGUUGGUAAGGUAACGGCUUACCAAGGCAACGAUGCAUAGCCGACCUGAGAGGGUGAUCGGCCACACUGGAACUGAGACACGGUCCAGACUCCUACGGGAGGCAGCAGUAGGGAAUCUUCCGCAAUGGGCGAAAGCCUGACGGAGCAACGCCGCGUGAGUGAUGAAGGUCUUCGGAUCGUAAAACUCUGUUAUUAGGAAAGAACAUAUGUGUAAGUAACUGUGCACAUCUUGACGGUACCUAAUCAGAAAGCCACGGCUAACUACGUG
rnacentral:rRNA from 1 species